rnacentral:rRNA from 1 species
ACGGAAGGCAGCAGUGGGGAAUAUUGCACAAUGGGGGAAACCCUGAUGCAGCAACGCCGCGUGAGUGAUGAAGUAUUUCGGUAUGUAAAACUCUAUCAGCAGGGAAGAAGAUGACGGUACCUGACUAAGAAGCACCGGCUAAAUACGUGCCAGCAGCCGCGGUAAUACGUAUGGUGCAAGCGUUAUCCGGAUUUACUGGGUGUAAAGGGAGCGCAGGCGGUCCUGCAAGCCAGAGGUGAAAACCCGGGGCUCAACCCCGUGAUUGCCUUUGGAACUGUAGGACUUGAGUACUGGAGGGGCAGGCGGAAUUCCUGGUGUAGCGGUGAAAUGCGUAGAUAUUAGGAGGAACACCAGUGGCGAAGGCGGCUUACUGGACGAUAACUGACGUUGAGGCUCGAAAGCGUGGGGAGCAAACAGGAUUAGAUACCCUGGUA